rnacentral:rRNA from 1 species
GUGUCAGCAGCCGCGGUAAUACCAGCUCUCCGAGUGGUGGGGACGUUUAUUGGGCCUGAAGCAUCCGUAGCCAGCUGAGCAAGUCCCCAGUUAAAUCCAGCGAUUUAAUCGUUGGACUGCUGGGGAUACUGUCCGGCUUGGGGGUGGGAGAGGCCGACGGUAUUCCCGGGGUAGGGGUGAAAUCCUAUAAUCCCGGGAGGACCACCAGUGGCGAAGGCUGUUGGCUAAAACAUGCCCGACGGUGAGGGAUGAAAGCUGGGGGAGCGAACCGGAUUAGAUACCCGGGUAGUCCCAGCUGUAAACGAUGCAGGCUAGGUGUUAGGGCGGCCACGUGCCGCUCUAGUGCCGCAGGGAAGCUGUUAAGCCUGCCGCCUGGGGAGUACGGCCGCAAGGCUGAAACUCAAAUGAAUUGACGGGG